UUACCAAGUGCAAGAAGGUGAUAUUCCGUAUAGCGAAUUCCUUUUUAAAUUUUAAAAUGGGGAAACAUUGUGCUGCUUUUGGAUGCAGCAAUAACCAAUCAAAGCCUGAAUGUAAAGGAAAGUCUUUUUUCCGGUUUCCUCUUAAAGAUUCCACUCUUUUAAAAGCUUGGGAAAAUCAAAUCAAGAGGCUUAACUUUGUACCAAAUGAAAGUUCCAGAUUGUGCAUGGACCACUUUGAAACAGAUUGUUUUGAGUUUCAACCCUUUACAAAUAGGAGGCAAUUAAAAAAAGGAUCUAUUCCGACGAUAUUCAGCUAUGCAAUUAAAAAACCUGAACGGAGGCCAUUAAAAAGGAUUCGUGUGGAACCUGCUGACGAUGACCAUAUUCAAGAUCCUGUUACAAAUGAGGAUGCUUAGAAACUAAAGAAUAUAUUUUGAAUGAAGUAACUCGCUGUUUGAAUCUUCAUCCAAGCAGAAUUUGCAUUGUCGCUGCUCUUUUAGGAAAUCACAUUAUUACUGAUACCGAUUUAGCGUCUUUCCAUCUUUCUUUAUGUCCUGACUCCAAAACAAAGAUUUCUCCUAAUACGUUGAUAAAAGCAGUUGUUGAUUAUGUUAGAAAUCUUCCUUCUGUUGAUGAUCUUAAUGAAGUUGCUUGGCAAGUGUUUGGGUCAGCUACUGAUGAAAGAUGUGAAAAAUUCAAACAAUGUGUGCUAUAUUACUGCCGCGGUAGCAGAAAUAUUGGUUCUCAUGUCUCAAAUACAUCAGCUACAUCAUCAUCAGGAAGUACAAAUCUUUUCUUUGAAUCAGAUGAUCAACAUAAUAUUCAAGCUACCCGGAAUGACAAACCUGAAAAAACGCCUCUCCUUCCUACACCUAGUAA